ensembl:lncRNA
CAGCAAUCUUUUUGUUGAGAAUAAUGAAAGAGUUUUGUCACAGGAAUGAGUUUAUCUAUGAAUCUCAAUCAGCUUCCAUCUCAAAUCUCUUCAAAGCUUGCCAGGUCCGGUGAUUUGCCAGUCUCUACUCCUGUCUUCUCAGAGCAGUUUUGAAAUGGUUGCCAAGAUGACACAUAAUCGGGGUAUUUGUCUUUUAAAGGCAGAGUUAAUAGGUGCUCCGCAAGGAGCCUUUGCACACAUUUUGCCUCUGUCGACAGCUCAGUUUGUUCCCUAAACCUGGCCUGCUUGAAUAUCAAAGAUGCCAUUAAACGGCCAACGCUACAGUGCAGUGCUCAGUGCAGGAAAACGUGCGGACUCAGAUCCACAGCAAUUACAGGUGGCCUAAAGAGCAACAUCAAAGACCUUGAUUAGACACCCCUCUGUUUUAAAAGUCUGACCUGCCCCUAUGCAGUUCUUCCCCUGUGUUGGGAGAUUGGACCUGACUCCUGUCCUUCAUACGGUGACAUAAAAUGGGCUCCACUGUGCGAACAAGACAAAUUGCUGUCUGUAAAAGCAGCGUGGAGCAGCCAGUAGACAUGACUGGCUUCUCUCCUUCUUCUGAAGGCUGCCUUGAUACAGAGCAGCUCCCACCACUGUCAGUGCAUGGUGGACCUUGGACUUCAGCCAUGUGAGGACUCCUGAAAAGGUCAUAAGGAAGAAAACAAUGGGAUCAGUACUGAGAAGAAGCAGCCGUACUGGAAAGGGGAUUUGCCUGGACCUGACUUUAAUGCAGCGGGCUUCCUUUUGGACACCCGAUUCAGACUAUCAGUUAACUUGGUCUUCUGAGUAUAAAGCUGUAGCUGUGACAAAAAUGUAGUGAAGCAAGCAAACUCCCCAUACCAAAUUCCUCUGUACAUGUGGUUCCGUCACUUAGAGAAAAUGUUGAUUGAGAGAACAUUAGUGGUUUUAAAGAAAAAAAACACCUGACUGAUAGAACAGCACCAAAUACAUUGAUGUUGAAAGUGUCUUACUAUAUAUUUCUCACUUUUAUUUGCUGCCAUUUUUCAUAGAAAAAAAGCAAAAACACAAAACUUGGCUAUUCUGGCAGGGAGACACUAUUUUUUCACUCUGUCCGUGUAUGGGAACUAUUGAGUCACAGCCUGAGCCACUGAUUGAGCAUCUGGGGAAAGGACCCGGUCAGCCCUGGGAGCACAGGUGAAGGCGAUUCAGGUGUGGGACCAGAAGGGGUGGAGUGUGGCUGCACCUCUUUUAGACCCCAUUUAAGGGCUGACUGCCACUGGGGAUGGUUCUCUGGUUGGUGGUCCCUCCCUAGUGGAGUUUUCCUGGGAGUGUAGCCCUUUAGAGACAGGUGAGUGCUUUCCCUUUUACUUUGUGGCAUCUUCUACUGUGCUGAUCCCUUUUCCCUUGCACCACUUAUAUUACCCUUCGAACAUGUUGAUCUUUCUGAUUGGUGCACCAUGACUGCUCUUGAGUCCCAGCAUUUUGAAAGGGGCUGAAGGAAGGGAGAAGAGCCGCUUGGUGCUUUGCUCAGUGCAGCUGAGAAGACUGUGGUUCCUUGCGGUAUUCUGCUUUCCUGCAGUUGCACUCCUAGCCCUGAGUGUUGCCAAGAUAUUAUUUCAAAACUGUAUUGGUG